rnacentral:rRNA from 1 species
CAACCCUUGUCCUUAGUAGCCAGCAUUUAGGAUGGGCACUCUAGGGAGACUGCCAGGGAUAACCUGGAGGAAGGCGGGGAUGACGUCAAAUCAUCAUGCCCCUUAUGACUUGGGCUACACACGUGCUACAAUGGCGUAAACAAAGGGAAGCGAAACCGUGAGGUCUAGCAAAUCUCAAAAAUAACGUCUCAGUUCGGAUUGUAGUCUGCAACUCGACUACAUGAAGCUGGAAUCGCUAGUAAUCGCAGAUCAGAAUGCUGCGGUGAAUACGUUCCCGGGUCUUGUACACACCGCCCGUCACACCAUGGGAUUUGGGAAUGCCCGAAGCCAGUGACCUAACCAUAAGGAAGAGCUGUCGAAGCAGGCUCGAUAACUGGGGUGAAUUCUUACAAGUUCC